rnacentral:rRNA from 2 species
CCUGAUGACAAUAGCAAGUUGGUACCACCUGAUCCCAUUUCGAACUCAGUAGUGAAACGACUUAGCGCCGAUGGUAGUGUGGGAGUUCCCAUGUGAGAGUAGGUCAUUGUCAGGC